UGAAAUUCGAAUCCGCGCUUACUAGUCUCUCUCACUCGAUCUCGAGGGCUAGGUCGUCGGCGAUGUUUUCCGGCAGAGAGAAUCCGACGGCGAAUUUAGUAAAUAGGCAGAAUCUUUUCGUUCAGAUCUUCGAGAGGAAGAGGCGAAUCGUCGAGAAGGUCAAGCAACAAGUAGAUCUUUUUGACGACCAUUUAGCCUCCAAGUGCCUACUCGCCGGAGUCUCCCCUCCGUCGUGGCUCUGGCCUCCGUCUAUACCUUCCGAAACUUCCGAGUUGAAUAAGGAGGAGAUCAUCUCAGGACUCCUCUUUCCUCAAUCAAGACCUUCCUUCAUUUGUCCUAGCGGCCGUCUCUUUCCGUAUCAGCCGCCCGUCAGUUUUCUAGCUGACAGUGUAGGAAGACAGGACCUGACGUCUGUGGUAAACAACACUUUGGAAGAGCAGUUGUUUGAAGAAGAACAACAACACCACCACCUCUCACACAACUUCGUCAGACGCGUUUCAGAUCAUUCUCACGAACAGGGUGAUGGUACUGCAUUUCCUAGAGAUGUCCAUGAGGAGGAACCAUUGCCAGAAGGUGUCUCAAUUGGUUGCAGAGAGAAUGAAAGCUGUCCGUCUCGUGGACACAGUCAGAAUCAGAGAGUUGUAAAUAGCCUUGGUGCUACAUCUCCUGGACGUAGCCAAGGAAAAAUGGUUCCUGAAAGUGUCUCAACUACUGGUUGUGAGCGGAAACUAUCAACUCUCGGAUAUUGUCAACAUGAAACUGAACCAGACACUUGCUUUGACCCUGGACUACCAGUACCGCUUGAGAAGAUUCAGAGAUCGAAGUCACGUCAAAAAGAUUUCGAGCGUCGGAGUAGUGCCAAAGCUUCCAGAAGCCGUUCAAACUAUAGAAAUGAGCUCAAACCUUCUCCAGGUGGAAAUAUAGGCCCUGAGAUUGCUUCGUUAAGGUCCGACAGUGUUAGGGAAACAAAUUUAUUUGAGCAUGAUGAGAAUGAUGAAGGUUGUCCCGAUGAAGUAGAGGACCGCAAUUCUCAAGGUAAAGGAGGGGAUCAGUGUAUUAAGUUUAGCUUAUCUACAGAGUCUUCAACCCCACAUCAGAAAGUGGUUCCUUUGCAAAGAGCUACCAGUGGAGAUGCUUCUGCUUCUAUUGUACCAAAAUCUCUAAGCGAGGCUGGUCAUGUGAAUGAAAUGGAUGUACUACAGACCAUUGAGACAAUUGCUGAAGUGUCUGUUAAAGUAGAUGAGCAACUGGAUGAUCCCCACAGCAGAAGUUGCAAUGAAACAGCUUAUCUCGAUGGGGGUACAAGAUCUAAAAGCUCAAGCCAUGAUAGAUCCAAGAGGGAACAUCAAAAGUCUAGCAACUCUGUUUCGGGUAGCAUCUCGUCAAGAAAUUCAGAUCCCUCUCACAGGGCAGAUGAUGGAGUAGAAUUACCCCAGGUAAUACCUCUCACUAAUGAAGAUUCUAGGCUGACAGAUGCUGGAGCGAGACUCUUUCAGUCUGAAAUUAAAACAAGAUCCAGCAGCAAUGCACGGAGAAAUAAAUCCAAGACUGGGCAUUCAGGCUCUGUUAAGUCUUCUUCAGUUGACCUGGAGCCAAUACAUUCGAUUUCAUCACUGCAAGGUGGAGAUGCAAAGGAGUCACUGAUUCCCUCGACUAUUGAUGUUGAAGGCUUGGUAGUUGUAAAUAUUACCAGCGACGAUCAAGCAAAAGAAAAGGGUGAAGGUGUAAAAGAGUCACUGGUUCCCUCUAUAGUCGAUGUUGAAGGUGGUAAUUCUGGAGGAAUUAGAUCUAAGACCGAGCAUUCAGGCUCUCUUGAGUCUUCUUCAGUUGACGUGGAACCAAGACAUUCAGGUUCAUUACUGCAAGGCCGAGAAGUAAAGGAAUCGCCCAUUCCCUCUUCUAUUGAUGUUGAAAGAUUAGUAAAUGAAGAUAUGACCAGCAAUGAUCAAUCAAAAGAAAAGGGUGAAUGUGUAAAGGAGUCAAUGAUUCCCUCGACUAUUGAUAUUGAAGGUUUAGCAGUGGAAGAUAUCACCAGGGGCAAUCAAUUAAAAGGAAAGGGUAAAUGUGUUGACACUAACAUAUGUUCAAGUGCUGGAAGGAUCAGCCAAACUGGCGUAUCCACAGAUGAGACGACACUUGCGAGUGCAAUUGAAAACUCUAUACCCAAGACCGAGCUUUUGGGAUUUGUUGAUUCCUCUUCAGCUGAACUGCAGUGGAGACACUCAGUAAUGCAAUCAGACGAUGAAAGUGUAUUGUUGAAGCCCGUUACUGAUACUGGUGAAGCUUUAUUAAUGGAGGAAGAUAAGGCUGGGGAAUCAACUGAAGUUAGCGGUAUCUCAAAAUCUAGAAGUUUAAGCCAAACUGACAUCACGGUAGUUGAGCAAGUGGUGGUUGAAUCUAUUCUUCAAGAAAGUGGUACCCCAGAAGACAUGACUGACCAUUCUAAAAAAUGGGAUACUGGUUGUGUGUCCAAGGAAGAGCAGUCACAGGGUUCAUUGACCAAAGCAGGGAGUAACCAGUGCCAUGGGAUAGUAAGUAGGCCAAGAAGCUUAGCAACUGAAGAGAAAUCAGCAAAUGAAUAUAAUGAUCUUUCUAUUGACUCUGAUCGUAAAUCAACUGAGGAACAGCUUAAAGUUAGAGCAGGAAACGCAUCAGUGAGAACGCAUGAUCUCCCUGACUUUAUGAAGCCUGAAUCACACUGUUUUGAUGAUACUGGAGAACGCAGCUUCGAUGACAUUCCAAUGAACAGUCGAGAAAAAACUACAAUGGAGAAGGUCCUAACACCAGCAUCUGCUGCAAGGAUGUCAGAUGUUCCAUCUCUCACUGAUUCUGAGGUAAAUCUUUCGGCAGACAACGAAAUGCACGACACUGAAGAUCAUAAUGGCUUAGAGAAAGAAACGGAAUCGCCUACAAGCCAUUGUGGCGUAAGAGUGGGAGAAAAUGAACCUCCAGAGUCAAAUACAUCCGCUGGUCAGAUAGAUGCAUUGAAAAAGAGACCUCAACUUGGAAUAUCCUCGGACCAAGGUGUUUCCCAGUUUAAUAGAAAUAUAGCAUGCACAGAAACAUGUGAAUCUCAUGGUCUAGAGGGCUCUAUACAGAAUCUUUUCUGCUCUAGCUCCCUUAUGGAGGGUUCACAACUGCAGAAUAAGCGGAGAAGAACCCUGUACAAAGUAACUAGUAGAGAGCCUUCGUCAAACCCAGUGGGAGACAUUCUGGACUCAGAUUCUGUUAGGGAAACAGUACAUCAUAGUGAGGAAGCCGCAAGUCACAACCUCAAUCAAUACGAUGUAGAGUUGCAAAAGAUAAUUGGAUCUGCAUCUUCAGAUCAUUAUGAAGUUGAGUUACAAAAGAUGAUUGGAUCUGCAUCGUCGGCUGAGUUACGAUUUGGAGAGGAUUACUUAUUCAAGGAAGCUGGAUUGAUGAGUCCUGCCUCGCUUUCCUUCAGACCAGAACAGAGUGUAGACAGGAGUCUUACUGCUCCAAAUCAGGGACUUAUAACAGAAAAUAUGGACUUUCUGCCAUUUGCUGGAGAAACCUCUCACCCAUUUGCUAGUGGCGUUGUACGUAGUUCAGAUUGUUCUCCUUGUUUGUCACCCUUGGGUUUGACAGGCGCAGACGAUGGAAGCCCCCCUGUUUUGGAGGGCUUUAUAGUCCAAACGGAUGAUGAAAGUCAAAGCGGUUCCAAAAACCAGAUAAAACAUGACAGCUUCGAAUUUCCAAAAACUACAGCAGAAAGUGCAACCAUCAUAGAGCAGAUUCGCAAGUCUGCUUGCAGGAUCACUCCCUCAUUAAAUCCAGCUAAAAUAUUCAAGUUCAAUGAGAAACUGGAUUUGGAUCAGUCCGUUUCAACUGAACUUUUUGAUGGCAUGUUUUUCAGUCAGAAUUUGGAGGGUAGCUCUGUCUUUGAUAACUUGGGGGUUAACAAUGACUAUACAGGAAAUUUGUACACUAGCUGUCUGCCCUUUUCUGGUGCUGGCUCAUCUGCUGAUGCUAGGAACCUUCUUACGUCUCCAAAUGGGAAGUUGUGGUAUAGAAGUUUGCAAAAGUCUGCCAGUUCAGAGAAGCAGGGCAUUCAGACACCAGACCUACCUUGCAUUAGCGAAGAGAAUGAGAACGUGGAUGAGGAGCCUGAAAACCUAUGCGCUAACACUCCAAAGUCGAUGAGGUCAGCGAAUCGACGAAGUUCAAUUCCAGACCUUCCUUGCAUAGCUGAAGAGAAUGAGAAAGAAGAUGAGAUAUUAGAAGCUGUCAGUCAAGUAUCUGAUGGUUCCAAAAGUGGGAAUGCCUCUGCUGAAAAGAAGCCUCUUGCUGAUGUUGAUGAAGAAGACCCUAUGAAAUUUCUUCCAUCUGUUUCUAACGUCAAGAUCCCUGUUGAUAGACAGAGCCUAGAUUCUGUCAAUACUGCGUUUAGUUUUUCUGCUACGUGCAACAACAGUGUCAAAAGUAAACCAGAAAGGAAGAUGGGUGGUAGCCGAAGAUUCACAGGUAAAGGUAAAGAGAAUCAAGGUGGAGCAGGCGCUGGAAGAAAUGUUAGACCCCCUAGUAGCAGGUUCAGUAAGACUAAGUUGUCUUGCAACUCGAGUUUGACUUCUGUAGGGCCGCGAUUACCAGAUAAAGAACCUAGGCACAACAACAUUGUCUCAAACAUCACUUCGUUCGUUCCACUUGUGCAGCAGCAAAAAGCAGCUGCAGCAAUCAUUACAGGCAAGAGGGAUGUCAAAGUAAAGGCCCUAGAAGCAGCUGAGGCCUCAAAAAGGAUGGCUGAACAGAAAGAAAAUGAACGCAAGAUGAAGAAAGAAGCAAUGAAGCUUGAACGGGCAAGGCUGGAACAAGAAAACCUGAGAAAGCAAGAGAUUGAGAGGAAAAAGAAAGAAGAAGAGCGAAAGAAAAAGGAAGCUGAAAUUGCAUGGAAGCAGGAGAUGGAAAAGAAAAAGAAAGAAGAAGAGCGGAAGAGAAAAGAGUUUGAAAUGGCGGAUAAAAAGAGGCAGAGGGAAGAAGACAAGAAGUUGAAGGAAGCUAAAAGACAGAGAGUUGCAGAAAUGCAGAGACAACAAAAAGAGGCUGAUGAGAAAUUACAAGCUGAAAAGGAACUGAAAAGAAAGGCUAUGGAUGCGAAGAUAAAAGCACUGAAGGAACUUAAAGAAGAACAAGGUAAUGCUAGGAUCCGUGAAGCAAGACCAAAGAGUAAUUCCAGCGACGAUACCAAUGCAUCAAGAUCCUCGAGAGAGGAUGAUCUCAAGGUGAUAAGCAACAUAGGGAAAAUGUCUGAAGAGUCCUACGACAUCUCUCCAUACAAAUGCUCAGACGACGAAGAUGAAGAGGAAGACGACGAUGACGACAUGUCAAACCACAAAUUCGUUCCUUCUUGGGCCAGCAAGAGCAAUGUACUUCUCGGCGUCAUUUCUCAAGAAAAUCGUGAUCCCGAUGUUGCUUUCCCUGCAAAACGCUUCCGCAGUAUAACCAAAGUUCUUUUGCCGCGAAAGUUCCGAAGCCAGUAGCAUAAACUACGCGGAGCCAAACUCAGAUUCUCGGAGACAGUAAAACUGUGUUUCAAGUUCCUUAGUAGCUUCAGCUUCAAAGUCUGUGAAUACACUCUCUCUUUGUGCUUAACCUAUUGUAGCAAAUGAUCCUAUUUGCUUUUGUAAGGAUUAGUAAAUGGAGACAGUAAUGUAAUAAUUAAUUUCAUCCCAUUGGCAUUCACAUUCAGUCUAACGCUUGAAUUUCAUUUGAUUUUUUGGUUCAGUGAGUUUAUAUAUUGAACAAUUAGGUUUUUCGAAUUCAUAUAAACCCUAUUUCAGAUAUAAACCCUAGUUCCAAGUUGAUAAAGAAUGGGAAGUAGAUUUAAAGAGGAUUCAUAACAUCCUUGAGCUCGUCUCAAAAUUCACAGAAAACAUUGACAAUGGUCAUGGAGAAGCUUAAGGCCUUGUAAAGUCACAAGAAGGGAUAACAAGCUUUAGUCAUAUGAAAUCCUUUCCCUAAGCUAGCGUUAACACAUAUCUCGAGAAUUGUGUGUUUCUGCUUAGUAGGUGCAGUUGCAGUUCAUCACCGUGAAGAGCUGGAUGGGAGCCAGCUAAAAAGACUCCUUGAAAUUUGUCUGAUUCACAGUAUGCAUCUUACUAUCUUUCUUUGCUUCUCUGAUUAGCAAUUAAGUAUGCAAUCAUAGUUAUACUUUUGUUUGCUCUUGUUUUCGUUGGCAGUUCUUGAUGCG